UAGCGGAGCGUGUGGUUUAAUUCGACCAUCCGCGAAGAACCUUACCUGGGUUUGACAUCGAGGUAGUAGCAAGGUGAAAGCUGCCCGACCCUUCGGGGAGCCUUGACAGGUGCUGCAUGGCUGUCGUCAGCUCGUGUCGUGAGAUGUUGGGUUAAGUCCCGCAACGAGCGCAACCCUCGUCGUUAGUUACAAGUGUCUAACGAGACUGCUGGUUUCAAACCGGAGGAAGGUGGGGAUGACGUCAAGUCAGCAUGGUCUUUAUAUCCAGGGCUACACACACGCUACAAUGGCCGGUACAAUUGGUUGCCACACCGCAAGGUGGAGCUAAUCCUCAAAGCCGGUCUCAGUUCAGAUUGUCGUCUGCAACUCGACGGCAUGAAGGCGGAGUUGCUAGUAACCGCAUAA
rnacentral:rRNA from 1 species